UAUUGACAUGACGACUGGCGGAAAGAUGCUCGGAAAAUACGAAUAUACCUGAAGGUUGUCCGGAUUUUGGUCGAAUUUGGUUUGCGAUGAUUGAACGCAGGCCAAAGUCGGGGGCUUAAGGAUAUAGUGGCAAUUUCCGAGUGUCAGAAGAUGGUCACCAUCGGGGAGUCCUCGUUAACGUCAAAGCCGUCCGCCUGGGCUUUGCCU
rnacentral:ncRNA from 15 species